GUGGGGAAUUUUGGACAAUGGGCGAAAGCCUGAUCCAGCCAUGCCGCGUGCAGGAUGAAGGCCUUCGGGUUGUAAACUGCUUUUGUACGGAACGAAAAGACUCCUUCUAAUAAAGGGGGUCCAUGACGGUACCGUAAGAAUAAGCACCGGCUAACUACGUGCCAGCAGCCGCGGUAAUACGUAGGGUGCAAGCGUUAAUCGGAAUUACUGGGUGUAAAGCGUGCGCAGGCGGUUAUAUAAGACAGAUGUGAAAUCCCCGGGCUCAACCUGGGAACUGCAUUUGUGACUGUAUAGCUAGAGUACGGUAGAGGGGGAUGGAAUUCCGCGUGUAGCAGUGAAAUGCGUAGAUAUGCGGAGGAACACCGAUGGCGAAGGCAAUCCCCUGGACCUGUACUGACGCUCAUGCACGAAAGCGUGGGGAGCAAACAGGAUUAGAUACCCGUGUAGUCC
rnacentral:rRNA from 1 species